rnacentral:tRNA from 4 species
GCGCCUGUAGUUCAAUGGUAGAACAGUAGCCUUCCAAGCUACGAGUGUCAGUUCGAUUCUGAUCAGGCGCUCAA